CUACGGGAGGCAGCAGUGGGGAAUAUUGCACAAUGGGGGGAACCCUGAUGCAGCAACGCCGCGUGGAGGAUGACGCAUUUCGGUGUGUAAACUCCUUUUAUAUGUCAAGAAAAUGACGGUAGCAUAUGAAUAAGCACCGGCUAACUCCGUGCCAGCAGCCGCGGUAAUAGGGAGGGGGCAAGCGUUGCUCGGAAUCACUGGGCGUAAAGGACGCGUAGGCGGGUUGGAAAGUCAGGUGUGAAAUCCUACAGCUUAACUGUAGAACUGCACUUGAAACUUCUAAUCUAGAGUAUGGGAGGGGGAGAUGGAAUUAGUGGUGUGGGGGUAAAAUCCGUAGAUAUCACUAGGAAUACCUAAAGCGAAGGCGAUCUCCUGGAACAUUACUGACGCUAAGGCGUGAAAGCGUGGGGAGCAAACAGGAUUAGAUACCCCGUAGUC
rnacentral:rRNA from 1 species